AGGUGGACAGUGCACAGAAUUCACAGUUGGAGGCCAAUUUCUCCAGGAACAUGCUGAAAAGAAAUGCAAGAGUUGUCCUUUCAAAUAUAUUUCAUCUAAUGUUUAUAAAUAUAAAGAAUGCUACCAACUUAAGAAAGGGGAAAAGCAAGCAUCACAUACAGUAAUUGCUACCAAAAAUGUUCAUAAUUCAACACUUACUGCCAGCAAAAGUAUCCAUUAUUCCACAACUCCUAGCAGUGAAGGUAAUGUGAGCUUGGAGGGUGAUAAACCAUUUAUACAAAUAAAGGACGACAGAGAUCUUAGCGAGGAGCCAGUUGAAGAUCAC